CAAGAAAGACCUAAGAACUGCUA
rnacentral:tRNA from 1 species